rnacentral:lncRNA from 1 species
UUUUUUAAGUCAGCAGUACUAUCCUACUUCUUUUGUGUUUUAUUUUAUCAACUUUAAAAACAUAUAGAGAUAGAAAGUAGGUGGGGAAUAAAUGUUCAGUAAAAGAAUUUUAAGGAGAAUUUAUAAACUGCCUUGAUCAUUGAAAGAACUUUUCCACCUUCAUAUAAAUAUACAAAGCAGUUAACUGAGAGGACAGUAGUAUCCUCACCAGAAAAGAUGCUUCUUCUACAGAAGCAGGAAGUAGGCUGAUUCUUUCAAUUGUGACACCAUUUUAAAACUAUAA